rnacentral:tRNA from 1 species
AGGCGCGUGGCUCAGUGGUAGAGCGCCUCCUUGACACGGAGGAGGUCGGUGGUUCAAUUCCACCCGCGCCUACCA